rnacentral:antisense_RNA from 1 species
UCGCCACUGAAUAGUAGGGCGAUUACAGACACAACUCCCCUGGGGAGCAGAGGCUCAGCAAUGAGUGACAGUUGGUCACCAAAUCAGCAUUGUUUAGACAACUUAAUCAGAUAAAUAUUUUAAAAAACAUAAUCAAAAGAAGGCACAGAGGCCAGGGGGCUACAUGGGAACAGCCUAUUGUUCAGCUNCNGUUUUCACGGAAAACAUGUCUGAGCCAAGGCAGCUCCUACAUUGG